rnacentral:lncRNA from 1 species
UGCCAUAGGAAAGCUUCAGAGAGGAGGCAAAACCAGGGAUAGAAGGAACUUGGGAUACUUAGGAGUGACUUGGGAUUAGGAUUUCAUUGUUGUCCCCAAAUAUUUGAAAGACUGUCCUCAUGGAAGAGAAAUUGUUCUGCCUGGCCCCAGAGGGGAAAAAUUGAUAGAAAUUGAAGAGAAUUAGAUUUAGGCUUGAUGUAAGAAAAGAUUUUCCAAUAAUUACAGAUGUCUUCCCCCCACCCUGCCCCCACCACCCAAUAUAAAGGGAAUAAAUUGACUCAGUAAGUAAUGAGGUCCCCCAUCACUGGAACAAGGCUUGGUGACUGCUUGUCAGGGUUGUAGAUAACAUUCACAAUAGAGAUUGACCUCUUCCAACUCUGAGAUUAUAUUAUUCCCUAAUGAGGCCAUUCUACCACCUCCAAUGAUGACUCAUUCCAGUUCCCCUCUCCUUGGAUCAGGGGGUUCUCCUUGGUGUCCAAUAACUAUCUGUCCUGCUGCAACACAAAGCCAAAUGCCUAUUUCCAAAUUUUUAUAAAUCUGAGACUAGAAGGAAGGGAUUGGGAUGAUGGUUUUAUCAACUGAUAUCCACAAGAAUGAAUAAAGUGUCCAAGGCCUGCCUGGUAUGAGAUUUAACAGGCAAGGCAAAAUUCUUGAUUUCCUGGAACUGAUGGAGGAGAUGAGAGAUUCAAGGAGUCUUCGUGGUUUGCAGAGAAUGGAAAAAAACAUUCCUGGCAAAGAGUUAGGCUGAGAAGAUCUGAGAAGAAAGAACAAUGCCCAGAGGUACAACCACCUGGUUGCUCAUUUGAGGUACCUGUCCUGAAUGCAAGAGAAAUGCCUUACAGGACUUAAGACAAGGCACGAGUUGCUGUGGACCGUAGAUUUCAUAGCCUCCACCAAUCUUCAGUCCCUUGCAGUCUGUGGUCCUCCAGCAGCCCCAGACCAUCUCAACUCUGCUAGGACCAUUGUAGGUAAGUGUCUGAAGCCUGGCUCCUGAUCUUGGGAAAGCAAAUCCUAAACCAGCUGGGGUUUGAGUCUAGGUAAGAGAAGAACAAGGGAUGAAGGUUACGAUUAGAUCCCAGAAAGGCUAGGAAGGAAAAAGUGAGUAUUUUGUGCCCAUCCAUUUAGGGUUUGGCAGUCUAACAUACUACCUGAGAAAAUUCCCAGAAAGUUUCUCC